rnacentral:lncRNA from 1 species
CCAGUUUUACAUCUUUAACUCAACAAAAUAAAAAUUAAAAACCAACUAUGGAGGAGUUGAUUACAAAACACAACUCUCUCCCAAAAUAACGCCAACGUCAUCACGUCGACUUGACGGCUCCUCACUAGAAUCUUACUCCCUGCACCCUGCCACUGUCAUUCUGCUCCCACGAACAAGGUUUGUGAUCAUCACAGGUAUCAACCACACGAUACAAAAUUGCAAGGGUGAGUUUAUUAUAAAAAGAACCAAUACCAAUUCCAAAUAACCACAAUUAGUAAGGAACAUAGGCAAACAUGAUGAGCAUACACAACAAUUAUUCUUCAACACUCAUAUCCAACAAAUAUUCAUCAUCCACAUCCAACAAUUACUCAUCAUCCAUCCAUGGACCCAAUCAAGAUUGCGCAGAAUGAUGCAUGCACCUGACUCAACACUCAGAUGCAAUGUGGUACGUACCAACAACAACCAAAUCUCAGGAAAUAGCCUAAGCGUGUCCACACGACACUCUCACUUAGGGAACUGUGCUGAGUUUGUCGAGACCACCCGGUUGUGCACGUAACAGCCCCCCUCCCAUAGAUGAUCAGCCUGGGAGCCCAAAGGUGUUCCCUACCAGGUGACAAGCCCUCUAGUACAAAGUACACUUGGCCGCAGUUACUCUAUUUCCUGUGUCGUAUGAGCUAUGAUCACGGCCAAAAGUAAGUGCCAAAGACCAUGGGCCAAUUAAAGCGCCUAAGCAUUCCCUCAAAAAUGCUUAGAUUCUCUAACCACGCUAGUUACCCACGUUUGGGCCAUCCGACAAGGUCAAUGCACUCUACCCCCCAUGGCAUACACUCCAUACGACGUAUGAUUGUGGCCAAAAGCUAGUGCCAAAGACCCUGGAAGGUCAGUGCACAGUGCCCCCCACGAUCAUACACAACAUCCAACGUAUGAACGUGGCCAAAAGCUAGUGCCAAAGACCCUGGAAGGUCAAUGCACAAUGCCCCCCACGAACAUACACAACAUGCACAUGCCAAUGCAUUUUCAACAUCAAUCAACAUUCCAUUUCCAUGUCAUUCACAACAUAAAUAUCAUCUCAUCUCAAUGACGUUAUCAACAACAACAACAACCUCAUUUCAUAUUCACAUAUUCAUCAAUAAUAACAAUUCAUGUUGACAUGGUCUUUAUUAACAGCGUCAUCUCAAAUCAAUAUCAUCAUAAUUAUCAUUAUCAUCACAUAUCAAUUAAAAUCCUUAAUAGCGACAUCAACAACAAAUCGCCAUCAUUUGGAAAUUCCGACCACGCCAAUGUGACUGGGGUUUAGUGUAGGUUAUGAAAAUAACAUGCAUUUCAUGAAAGGAUAACGUUUACAAAGUCUCUUUCUCUAAGGUUUUUCAAAGGAAGCAUAAGACAUGCAAUGGCGGUUCCAAAGUCAGAAAAGAUGCAAAGACAAGAUGAAAAUAACAAGAAACAAGCAUAGAACCAUGGUUACCUCGAAAGAAAACGAAAGGUCAGAUUAGGGUUUCAUUCUCUACCAAAACCGCAAGCCAAGUUGGAAGAUUCCGCUUUGGUUGAAGGGUUCCUCUCGGUGUGGGGUUUCAAUGGAGGACAACGAUG